rnacentral:tRNA from 1 species
GUCCUCGUAGCUCAGCAGGAUAGAGCAUCAGAUUCCUAAUCUGGGGGUCGCAGGUUCGAAUCCUGCCGGGGACACCA